rnacentral:rRNA from 1 species
AUUGAACGCUGGCGGCAGGCCUAACACAUGCAAGUCGAGCGAGCGGCGGCCGGGUGAGUAAUGUAUGGGGACUGCCCGAUAGAGGGGGAUAACUAAUGGAAACGGUAGCUAAUACCGCAUACUAUCGGAUGACCCAUAUGGGAUUAGCUAGUAGGUGAGGUAAUGGCUCACCUAGGCGACGAUGCCUAGCUGGGCUGAGAGGAUGAUCAGCCACACUGGGACUGAGACACGGCCCAGACUCCUACGGAGGCAGCAGUGGGGAAUAUUGCACAAUGGGCGCAAGCCUGAUGCAGCAAUGCCGCGUGUAUGAAGAAGGCCUUAGGGUUGUAAAGCACUGUCAGUGGGGAGGCGUUACUGACAGAAGAAGCACCGGCUAACUCCGUGCCAGCCGCCGCGGUAAUUC